rnacentral:rRNA from 1 species
UACAGAGGGGGCAAGCGUUGUUCGGAAUUACUGGGCGUAAAGGGCGCGUAGGCGGCCGCCUAAGUCAGACGUGAAAUCCCUCGGCUCAACCGGGGAACUGCGUCUGAUACUGGGUGGCUUGAAUCCGGGAGAGGGAUGCGGAAUUCCAGGUGUAGCGGUGAAAUGCGUAGAUAUCUGGAGGAACACCGGUGGCGGAGGCGGCAUCCUGGACCGGUAUUGACGCUGAGGCGCGAAAGCCAGGGGAGCAAACGGG